UACGUAGGUGGCGAGCGUUGUCCGGAUUUACUGGGCGUAAAGAGCGCGCAGGCGGUCGUACAAGUCGCGUGUGAAAGCCCCCAGCUCAACUGGGGAAGUGCCUUUGAUACUGGUCGUCUCGAGGGAGGUAGGGGCGUGCGGAACUUCCGGUGGAGCGGUGAAAUGCGUAGAUAUCGGAAGGAACGCCGGUGGCGAAAGCGGCGCGCUGGACCUCUUCUGACGCUGAGGCGCGAAAGCUAGGGGAGCAAACGGGG
rnacentral:rRNA from 1 species